AAGAGAUUGAGUUUAACGUCUACUGAUCACAGGUCACACAGAAGAGAUUGCUCUUUAAAAAUAAAUCCCUGAGAGUUUAUAUGAACAUAUGUCUUUUUCCUAUUAUAUAACCAUUUAAGUACAGGAAACAAUCGACUUAGUGCUACACCUUUAUUAAUUCUGAAUAUUAUUUGUCUCUAUGUCUUCUCCCACUUGGUUUCCUCAAGGAGAAAGAGUACUAACUGAGAAGAGUUAAAAAUCUACAUUUUGUUUUGCACAGUCUGAGGAAUCUUUAUUAUGAAAUCUAUACUCUGUUGCCCGGGCUAAGUGCAGUGGCAUAAUCUCAGCUCACUACAACCUCCGCCUCCUGGGCUCAAGCAAUCCUCCUGCCUCCCAGGUAGGCUGGGACUACAGGUGUGUGCAACCACACCCAGCUAAUUUUUGUAUUUUUAAUAGAGACAGGGUUUCACCACGUUGACCAGGCUGGUCUCAAACUCCUGACCUCAAAUGAUCCAUCUGCCUCAGCCUGCCAAAGUGCUGGAUUACAGGCAUGAGCCACUGUGCCCAGCC
rnacentral:lncRNA from 10 species